CAGAUAAACUCCGAAUGCCAAUGAAUUAUGGUCGGCAGUCAGACUGCGAGUGCUAAGAUCCGUAGUCGAAAGGGAAACAGCCCAGACCACCAGCUAAGGUCCCAAAAUAAUUGUUAAGUGGAAAAGGAUGUGGGGUUGCACAGACAACUAGGAUGUUAGCUUAGAAGCAGCUAUUCAUUCAAAGAGUGCGUAAUAGCUCACUAGUCGAGUGACCCUGCGCCGAAAAUGUACCGGGGCUAAAACAAUUUACCGAAGCUGUGGAUACCUUUAUAGGUAUGGUAGGAGAGCGUUCUAUGUGUGAUGAAGGUAUACCGUGAGGAGUGCUGGAACGCAUAGAAGUGAGAAUGCCGGUAUGAGUAGCGAAAGACAGGUGAGAAUCCUGUCCACCGUAAGACUAAGGUUUCCAGGGGAAGGCUCGUCCGCCCUGGGUUAGUCGGGACCUAAGGAGAGACCGAAAGGUGUAUCCGAUGGACAACAGGUUGAUAUUCCUGUACUAGAGUAUGUAGUGAUGGAGGGACGCAGUAGGCUAACUAAAGCAGACGAUUGGAAGAGUCUGUCUAAGCAGUGAGGUGUGAAUUGAGUCAAAUGCUUAAUUCUAUAACAUUGAGCUGUGAUGGGGAGCGAAGUUUAGUAGCGAAGUUAGUGACGUCACACUGCCAAGAAAAGCUUCUAGCGUUUAAACAUACUCUACCCGUACCGCAAACCGGCACAGGUAGUCGAGGCGAGUAGCCUCAGGUGAGCGAGAGAACUCUCGUUAAGGAACUCGGCAAAAUGACCCCGUAAC
rnacentral:rRNA from 1 species